GUUUGGCAAAGCUGGGGGAACAGGGAGCAGAGGAGAAGAGAUACACAGAGAGAGACAGGAAAAUUACUAGCGAUGGGGGAGUUCGUGUAUGUAUGUGUCUAUAUAAAUGAAAGAGUAUGUGUAUUCGAGUGUGUAUAUGUGUGCUUGUAUGUGUGCGAGUGAGUUGGAAGGGGAACGAGCGAUUGAAUCGCUCUGAGAAUAGUUACUCUUGCAAACGACCCCAGGCACUUGUUCAAGGCGAAGCACAAAUGGGGCCUCAACUCCACACCUGCAAACAGGGUACAGAGAAUGAAUCUCCUUUGUCACAGAGCAAGGAGUAACACUGUUAACUCAGCCAAAAUAAACUAAAAAUAUUCCAGCUUCCUCUCAAGGAUACAACCAACGCCUCACCCUACUGCUUUGUUCGGGUUGAGGAGUCUAUGUCGCCUCGCCUCCUGGCCCCCUCACUCUCCAUCCUACCAUCCCGUGUUCUCCGAAAUUCCAAAGAGUUUUAUUCCAUUUACGUUAUAGACAGGUGCGUCUAUUCCAGUUCUGAGCUUCGGAUCCAAAUAUUAGGCACGGAGUCGCAAAAUUCCAAGCCUGAAUGGCUCAGCUGCUCCUGGGCGGCUGGCCCCCCAGUCCUGGUAGAAGAGAAAAAAUGUGAGGGCUCAGCGAAUAACCAAGGUGAUGAAGACUAGGCCAGGACCAUUUAGUAGGCUCUAAGAAAGUGGGACUGGACCCAAAUCUCAUCCCCCUUCCAUCUUUCGUUCCUAGACCCAGGGAUGACAACGCAGACCUGAUGGAACGGGUCUGAACCAAGGGUUCUUCACUCCCUCUGACCCCACAGACAGGACGAGUCUGUUUCCUCAGUUUCCAUGGGAUCGUAUGGAAUCUACGAAGUCUGUGUCCUGAGGUCCCGGUCUAAGCACCUCAAAGGAAACAGGAGACAGGCAAACAUUCGGGUUGUUUUGGCUUCAGAAAGUUCAAGGCCAGCCUUACGGAGACUGGUUAGCUGUAAGGACUUCAGACCAGAGGGACGAUAUGGCUGUGAGCGGGAGGUGUUGGGAGAGCCUUCCCCCCCACCCCCCGGCCGGCCAGAGUAUGGUGGAAGGCAUGACAACGUGCUCAAGACUUCGCACCCCCAAGAGGACCGAAGAAUAGUGUGUUGUUUUGUCAGUGGGUAUCUACCAGAACGGCCGACUCAUUACUUACCCGACUUCCCGGCCCAGUCAAACGGGCCCAGAGCGGCGGCUGUGGAGUGGGAGGUGGAGGCGAAGGAUGUCGCUACGGCUCCGUCCUUAACCAAAAUGCGUCUCUUUAAAGGAAGUAGUCUUAGGAACUGGCCGAAAACCAGUUUUUCAUCUCACUUUCCUCCUCUUCCUCUUAUUUCCCCCAUUCUACCUCUCCUCUCCUCCCUUUUGUGCCUUCAUUCCAAAUUUCCUCUUUUACUCCUUUCCCCGUCUUUUUCCCAUUCCUGA
rnacentral:lncRNA from 1 species